rnacentral:rRNA from 1 species
GACGAACGCUGGCGGCGUGCUUAACACAUGCAAGUCGAACGAUGAACCCGGAGCUUGCUCCGGCGGAUUAGUGGCGAACGGGUGAGUAACACGUGAGUAACCUGCCCUUGACUCUGGAAUAACUGCGGGAAACUGUAGCUAAUACCGGAUACGACCCUCGGCGGCAUCGCCAGGGGGUGGAAAGAAUUUCGGUCAAGGAUGGACUCGCGGCCUAUCAGCUAGUUGGUGAGGUAACGGCUCACCAAGGCGACGACGGGUAGCCGGCCUGAGAGGGUGACCGGCCACACUGGGACUGAGACACGGCCCAGACUCCUACGGGAGGCAGCAGUGGGGAAUAUUGCACAAUGGGCGCAAGCCUGAUGCAGCAACGCCGCGUGAGGGAUGACGGCCUUCGGGUUGUAAACCUCUUUUAGUAGGGAAGAAGCGAAAGUGACGGUACCUGCAGAGAAAGCACCGGCUAACUACGUGCCAGCAGCCGCCGUAA